ensembl:lncRNA
GAGACACACACACACACACACACACACACACACACACACACACACACACACAGACACACACACACAGAGACAGAGUGAGAGAGAGACACAGAGAGAGAAAGAGACACACACACACACACACACACACACACACACACACACACACACACACAUAAACACCCUGUUCUUCUAUACUUCUUGUCUCCCACCGCACACUUAAAACUCUGUGUACCCUGGCUCAGUAGCAGUGCAGCAGUCCUCACCGCCACAUACUGAACAUACCGUGGUGAUCAACCGUCCUGGUGGCUCCUGAUUACAUGUUGUGGCCUGAAGGGAGAUGAUCCAUGCAGCGAAUCACAGCGAGCGCUCUGUUGUGCCAACAUGGAACAUUCUGGAGCUCCACAAUCGCACGUUUCAUCGCGGGGGAAGUACAGAGGACGGCCGCAAAGCCGGGAUAAUGAGGCCGCAUUGAACCGGUAAACCGCUGGCGGGGAGACAAUUACAGCCUCUUCCUUUGGCAACACCUCCACACGGUGUUUCAACUGAGAGCUGCUCGGAAGAUAAAAACGAGUUGAGGCUCUAGCUGACCACACCGGGUCGACCUGGGCCAGGUUUGGGCGAUGCCGUCUCUCUGCUGGUGGUCAGGAUGCCAGCCGCACUCAGGGGGGAGAAAACAGGAACAGAGAACAGCAGAACGUAAUCGAUCCAUCCCAGUUCUGCCUUGUCUCCUGACCUUCCCUGUCCGCUCCACUGAGCUCCGCCUAAAUUAUGGAACAAACCAUUGUCUUCAGCUGGUCUGAGCGCGACUGGCAUCCCGUACCGCGACAUCAGGCCCUGAGUUCACCGGGCGCUGCACAACACCUGGUCAAUGUUUACCUUUCAACGGUGCGUUUGAUACGUCUGAUGGAACAAUCCAGAAGGAAAGCCCCAUGUGGUCUCCCCCCCCGCAGUCUCCUUGUGUCAACACCCAGAGGGAAUUCCAUGACAUGCGCGCGCAUUCCUCCAGCGUCUAUUUUUGUCAUAUUGCUAAACACAGCCCAGGUGGUUGUGGAACCUUGCACGGCCCUGGUGAGCAGAACUAAACUAAAGGGAAGCGACAGCAGGCUCUCCAUGGCUCCACAGCCCUCACAGGCUGUUUGUGUGUGACUGUGUGCUACAGCAUCCCUGGUUACCAAUAUGGCACUGCUCACCAUCCACCUGAAGUCUGUCCUGAAGCGCGCUGGGUUUGCUACUCCUGUUGUUCACAUCCGUUUUGAUCGACACAUCCCGCUUCCUCCACGUUCGGCCCAGAAACCCAAACCGUCUGUCUCCGUGCAACAGCAGCAGGACAGUGGUGGUGUCCC